UGGGGUGUAGCUCAAUGGUAGAGCAUUUGCCAAGCAUGUGUGAGGCACUGAGUUCAAUUCUCAGCACCAAAU
rnacentral:tRNA from 1 species